rnacentral:rRNA from 1 species
GGCGAGUGAAGCGGGAAGAGCUCAUUCUGUGAAUCUGUAUGCUCUUUUGGUAUACCGAGUUGUAGAAUAUAGAAGCACAUCAGUGCGAAUUCCGGUCUAAGUCUCUUGGAAAAGAGCAGCUAAGAGGGUGAGACUCCCGUUCUUGGCUGGAAUUCAAACUUUAGCAUGUGGUUUCGACGAGUCGAGUUGCUUGGGAUUGCAGCUCAAAGUUGGUGGUAAAUUCCAUCUAAAGCUAAAUAUCGGUGGGAGACCGAUAGCGUACAAGUACCGUGAGGGAAAGAUGCAAAGAACUUUGAAAAAAGAGUUAAAGAGUACCUGAAAUUGCUGAAAUGGAAGCGAAGGAAACCAGUGCCGUUCUGUAUCAUUCUUCCGUCCUUGCUUGCGAGGGUGGCGCUGUGAUGCAGGAUAGGCCAGCGUGGGUUUGAGCCGAAGGAAGCAGCUCUUCAGGAGGCAGCGCAAUUUCUGUGCGAUUACUGUUGAGCUUUGCUUCGGCUUGGACUGAGGCUAGUCACUUGUGCUCGUGACGCUGGCGAAAUGGUUUUCUUUACCCCGUCUUGAAACACGGACCAAGGAGUCUAACAUAUGUGCGAGUAUAUGAGUGACAAACUCACAUGCGAAAUGAAAGUAACAGUGGUUGGACCUUCUGGGCACAAUCCGCCGGCCACAAUCCUUCGGGAGAAAGGUCUGAGUGUGAGCAUACAUGUUGGGACCCGAAAGAUGGUGAACUAUGCCUGA